CGCUGGGUAGAGCAGUUGGCAGCUCGUCGGGCUCAUAACCCGGAGGCCGCAGGUUCGAGUCCUGCCCCAGCUA
rnacentral:tRNA from 1 species